rnacentral:rRNA from 1 species
GAUGAACGUUGGCGGCGUGCCUAAUACAUGCAAGUCGUACGGCAACACAGUUGCGAGCAAUCGCAACCGGUGGCGAGUGGCGCACGGGUGAGUAACGCGUAUGUAACCUACCCUUCUCCGGGACAUAACUCCGCGAAAGCGGUGCUAAUAUCCCAUACCAACUCAUCAAGACAUCUUCUUGAGUUGAAAGCAGCAAUGCGGUGAAGGAUGGGCAUGCGUCCCAUUAGCUGGUUGGUGAGGUAAUGGCCCACCAAGGCUACGAUGGGUAGGGGUUCUGAGAGGAAAGCCCCCCACACUGGUACUGAGACACGGACCAGACUCCUACGGGAGGCAGCAGUAAGGAAUAUUGGGCAAUGGUCGAAAGACUGACCCAGCCAUGCCGCGUGCAGGAUGAAGGCCCUAUGGGUUGUAAACUGCUUUUAGCCGGGAAUAAACACCCGUUUUAUAACGGGCCCGAAGGUACCGGCUGAAUAAGCAUCGGCUAACUCCGUG